rnacentral:rRNA from 1 species
GUACAUGCCUACAACAUAGCGUUAAUAUAUUGGAUCCCAUUAGAACUCCGCAGUUAAGCGCGCUCGGGAUAGAAUAGUAUUGGGGCGCGCUCGGGAUAGAGUAGUAUUGGGAUGGGUGACUGCUCAGGAAGUCCUAGUGUUUUACAUC